rnacentral:rRNA from 1 species
GAUGGACGCUAGCGGCAGGCCUAACACAUGCAAGUCGAGGGGUAGAAGGAGCUUGCUCCUUUGAGACCGGAGCACGGGUGCGUAACGCGUAUGCAAUCUACCUUGUACAGGGGAAUAGCCCAGAGAAAUUUGGAUUAAUGCCCCAUAGUAUAUAACCUUCGCAUGUUGGUUAUAUUAAAGUUCCAACGGUACAAGAUGAGCAUGCGUCCCAUUAGUUAGUUGGUAAGGUAACGGCUUACCAAGACGAUGAUGGGUAGGGGUCCUGAGAGGGAGAUCCCCCAAACUGGUACUGAGGCACGGACCAGACUCCUACGGGAGGCAGCAGUAAGGAAUAUUGGUCAAUGGUCGCAAGACUGAACCAGCCAUGCCGCGUGCAGGAAGACGGUCCUAUGGAUUGUAAACUGCUUUUAUACAGGAAGAAACCCUCCCACGUGUGGGAGCUUGACGGUACUGUAGGAAUAAGGAUCGGCUAACUCCGUG